UGGGCAAGUUUUCCUCUGCACAGGUUUUGAUAAAUCUCCCCUAUAGAGAAUGUGGAAUACCAUAUACCAGAUAUGACAUGGACAGUCAGACAUUUGAAAAGUGAAGUCUAAAUAAUACGUUGUAAAGGAGAUAACGGAGUAGAAGCCCACCAAAAGCGGAAAAAUAACUGAAGAUGGUGCAAGCAGCCAAAAGACCCUGUUCACAGGUCCAAAAUGUAGACAAAAAGCAGAGCGGUUGCAGCACUCAAAGUCAGUAGUGAACAGGGCGGGCUUCUAGUUCAGGAAUUCAUCGGCGCUGACCGGGAGAAGGACAUCAGACAGUCACUUACUUUGGACCCUCCGCAGUGGAGAUACAUUUGGAGUCGGGAUGACAUGGAUUGAGCUCUGCUGAACAAAAGUCCAACAAUUGUUCGCAGUAUUCUCCUACAGAACAAGAGGGAAAACAGUUGACCAGGUAUUGGCUACGGGAUGUCAGCCUGAAGAGCUGCCCAAUAUAAGUGAGCUAACCUAAAAACAGACCAACAAUAGAAAGGGGGAGGCACACCAAUAUAUAGAAACCAGAAGAACGUAUUCACAACUUGCAACAUUGAAAAUAAAUCACAUCCGCAAAUGUAUGAACAUGGCAGCAUGCCCGACCAGCCAGUAUGACCAGGAAGUACAGAACUAAGAUCCCACC